rnacentral:miRNA from 1 species
GCUGACACAUCCCGGCCAAUCUCCAGCAGACCCUCCCUCCCAGACCCUCCUACUUCCUGGACAGCAUCCAUGUUGAAGCUGCCUUUAACAUGGAUGCUGUCCAGGAAGUAGGAGGGUCUGGGAGGGAGGGUCUGCUGGAGAUUGGCCGGGAUGUGUCAG